CCUACGGGAGGCUGCAGUGGGGAAUAUUGGGCAAUGGGCGCAAGCCUGACCCAGCAACGCCGCGUGAAGGAAGAAGGCAUUGGGGUUGUAAACUCCUUUUCUCAGGGACGAAGCAAGUGACGGUACCUGAGGAAUAAGCCACGGCUAACUACGUGCCAGCAGCGGCGGUAAUACGGAGGCGGCAAGCGUUCUUCGGAUUUACUGGGUGUAAAGGGGGGGUAGGUGGGACUGCACUUCAGAUGUGAAAUCCACGGGCUCAACCUGUGGCCUGCAUUUGAAACUGGAGUUCUUGAGUACUGGAGAGGCAGGCGGAAUUCGUGGUGUAGCGGUGAAAUGCGUAGAUAUUGGGAGGAACACCAGUGGCGAAGGCAGUCUGCUGGACAGCAACUGACGCUGAGGCGCGAAAGCGUGGGGAGCGAACAGGAUUAGAUACCCCAGUAGUC
rnacentral:rRNA from 1 species